CAUAUGACUACCUCCCUGGGAAAAGAUACUUCAUAUGCAAAGACUAUGAGAAUGACGGGAUGCAUUUCAGGCAACCAUGGGUUAUGGGAAUGCAACAAGAGGUUGAGAGACUCAAAGAACGUUUUCACGAGCAGGAGAAGCUUCUGCGAGAGUGCGAGGCACUUAAGGGCCAGGUGAGGAUGCUGCUUAUGCGGGUGGCUGAACUCGAGAAACGAAACUUACCGGUUUCUAACUAAGGUUAGUGUUUGAACUUACCAGUUAGAAUUCAAAUGGAAUUUAGUUUGUAGUUAGAAAAGAAACUAGGAUUGUGUAACCGUGUCACUUAGUAGUUGAGAAUACUUGAAAACAAACUAGGAUUGUGUAACCGUUUAAUGUUUCUGAGCAAAUAACUUUUAGUUUGUAGUUAGGAAACAGACUAGGAUUAUUAAUGCACACCAAACCACCAUUUAAUUGUGCGUAACUGCACUGCUUCCUUUAAGCCUAAAACCCAUUAAAUUCUCGUGAGCUGUUCUGAUAUGACUGUUUUCUACUAGGAUUCAAUAGAGUUAUUAUAAAAUCUCUCAUUUAAUCGUAUGUUUUUCUACUAGAGAAACACAGACUUCUUCCUAAAUGGCCAAAUCCGGU